UACGGGGGGAGCAAACGUUGUUCGGAUUUACUGGGCGUAAAGGGCUCGUAGGUGGCCAACUAAGUCAGACGUGAAAUCCCUCGGCUUAACCGGGGAACUGCGUCUGAUACUGGAUGGCUUGAGUUUGGGAGAGGGACGCGGAAUUCCAGGUGUAGCGGUGAAAUGCGUAGAUAUCUGGAGGAAUACCGGUGGCGAAGGCGGCAUCCUGGACCGAGAUUGACGCUGAUGAGCGAAAGCUAGGGGAGCAAACGGG
rnacentral:rRNA from 1 species